UACGGAGGGUGCAAGCGUUAUCCGGAAUGAUUGGGCGUAAAGCGUCUGUAGGUGGCUUUUUUAAGUCCGCCGUCAAAUCCCAGGGCUCAACUCUGGACAGGCGGUGGAAACUACCAAGCUGGAGUACGGUAGGGGCAGAGGGAAUUUCCGGUGGAGCGGUGAAAUGCGUAGAGAUCGGGAGGAACACCAGUGGCGAAGGCGGCUAUCUGGACCAGCACUGACACUCAGGCACGAAAGCGUGGGGAGCAAACAGG
rnacentral:rRNA from 1 species